UUGAACGCUGGCGGCAGGCCUAACACAUGCAAGUCGAACGGCAGCACAGAAGAGCUUGCUCUUUGGGUGGCGAGUGGCGGACGGGUGAGUAAUGUCUGGGAAACUGCCUGAUGGAGGGGGAUAACUACUGGAAACGGUAGCUAAUACCGCAUAACGUCGCGAGACCAAAGUGGGGGACCUUCGGGCCUCACACCAUCGGAUGUGCCCAGAUGGGAUUAGCUAGUAGGUGGGGUAAUGGCUCACCUAGGCGACGAUCCCUAGCUGGUCUGAGAGGAUGACCAGCCACACUGGAACUGAGACACGGUCCAGACUCCUACGGGAGGCAGCAGUGGGGAAUAUUGCACAAUGGGCGCAAGCCUGAUGCAGCCAUGCCGCGUGUAUGAAGAAGGCCUUCGGGUUGUAAAGUACUUUCAGCGGGGAGGAAGGCGGUGAGGUUAAUAACCUCGCCGAUUGACGUUACCCGCAGAAGAAGCACCGGCUAACUCCGUGCCAGCAGCCGCGGUAAUACGGAGGGUGCAAGCGUUAAUCGGAAUUACUGGGCGUAAAGCGCACGCAGGCGGUCUGUUAAGUCAGAUGUGAAAUCCCCGGGCUUAACCUGGGAACUGCAUUUGAAACUGGCAGGCUUGAGUCUCGUAGAGGGGGGUAGAAUUCCCAGGUGUAGCGGUGAAAUGCGUAGAGAUCUGGAGGAAUACCGGUGGCGAAGGCGGCCCCCUGGACGAAGACUGACGCUCAGGUGCGAAAGCGUGGGGAGCAAACAGGAUUAGAUACCCCUGGUAGUCCACGCCGUAAACGAUGUCGACUUGGAGGUUGUGCCCUUGAGGCGUGGCUUCCGGAGCUAACGCGUUAAGUCGACCGCCUGGGGAGUACGGCCGCAAGGUUAAAACUCAAAUGAAUUGACGGGGGCCCGCACAAGCGGUGGAGCAUGUGGUUUAAUUCGAUGCAACGCGAAGAACCUUACCUGGCCUUGACAUCCAGAGAACUUAGCAGAGAUGCUUUGGUGCCUUCGGGAACUCUGAGACAGGUGCUGCAUGGCUGUCGUCAGCUCGUGUUGUGAAAUGUUGGGUUAAGUCCCGCAACGAGCGCAACCCUUAUCCUUUGUUGCCAGCGGCUCGGCCGGGAACUCAAAGGAGACUGCCGGUGAUAAACCGGAGGAAGGUGGGGAUGACGUCAAGUCAUCAUGGCCCUUACGGCCAGGGCUACACACGUGCUACAAUGGCGCAUACAAAGAGAAGCGACCUCGCGAGAGCAAGCGGACCUCAUAAAGUGCGUCGUAGUCCGGAUUGGAGUCUGCAACUCGACUCCAUGAAGUCGGAAUCGCUAGUAAUCGUAGAUCAGAAUGCUACGGUGAAUACGUUCCCGGGCCUUGUACACACCGCC
rnacentral:rRNA from 1 species